CGCUAGGUUUCACAGGGCUUCAGAAUCCUGUUGGGAACCUGGAUCAUCACCUCAUCCACCAAAAGGGUCCUGGUUUCCCUGUUUCUGUAAGUGACACAGCCAGGAAGGACGUCCAGGACUCGCCUGAGCAUUGUGGCUGGCUGACGCCUCAGGUCCGCUAAGCAUUUCCUGAAUUCACCCCACUGUCUGGCUCCCGUCUGCUCCUAUUCUUCCUCACCUGAACCCUAACCCCCUCCCUACAGCAUGGAUAGAGGGGCUGUUUGUCACAUUCUACCCAUUCUUCAUUCCCAGGACACCCCCUCUUUUCUUCUUGGAAGCCCUCCUCUCUCUCUGGCCACUCCUCCAGGCCUCGGGUUAAAGCUCCACCCUCCAGGAAGCCAGCUCUCACUUUUCACACAUUGGCCAAGUGUCCUGGACUCCUAAGGUGCAGGCCAUUUCUUUUUCUGUCUUGUAAUUUCCUGUUUCCUCCUGCCUCUCCUACUGACCAUAUCUUGAGAGCAGGACUGUCUUUUUCUCUGAUGUACUUCGAGAGCCUGCACAAGAGUGUGUUGACUAAAGCAACCAAUGGCGGUCCCAGCUAACGUGACCGCUUCCUAUUUUGAACUUCAAAGCUCUCCAUCCAGGAUGCCUCUUAAGGGCCAAAGUGCCCCAGCUGGAAUUGGAACCCUCCCAGGCAUAUCCAGUGUGUGUCCCACUGCCCGGUCGCCUGUGCAUGGGUCUAUCAUUGCCUGGAAUUGGUGGGCAGAGGAAUGAUGGUCAUGGAUAAGGGACCAUCCCUCCAAAGCGCAUCACCUCUUCUUUCAGUGGUCACAUUCAGGCCCUAGCUCCUCACUCAGUUGUAGAACCCCAAAACUCAGUUUGAGUACCUGAUGUGCAGGAAGCCAAACAGUGACACAUCAGUGCUUCAGAAGAGAGAAUGGUUUAUUUGAUUUGGCCAACGGUAAUAUAGGCUCUGUUACAAAGGGACCUUACUGUCUGGGACCUGCUAGCUCCAGUACUGCCACAAUGCAGGAUUCCAGGCACUGACUCACUGGCCCUGCCAUGCCCACGCCACUGCUCCCGCUGCUGCUUCGAUUGCUGCUGUCCUGCCUGCUGCUGCCUGCUGCCCGCCUGGCCCGCCAAUACCUCCUGCCCCUGCUGCGCCGAUUGGCCCGCCGCCUGGGCUCCCAGGACAUGCGAGAGGCUUUGCUGGGCUGUCUGCUGUUCAUUCUCAGCCAGCGACACUCGCCAGACGCUGGGGAGGCCUCAAGAGUGGACCGCCUGGAGAGGAGGGAGAGGUUAGGCCCCCAAAAGUGAGGCCACAAGUCCUGGCAGCAGCUGUAUCCACAAAAUGCUUUCUUUUGGAGUAGGAUAAUCCUGGCACCAGCACUGACCGAAGCCUGCCCAGUGGACAGAAGAUAUAGUGAGGGUUGUGCAUGAGAGGGAUCUGCCACAGACAUGCCUCUCCACUCCCAACAGAAAUGUCUUUCUGGAAGAAUGCCUUGCAUCUAGCACAAAACUGAUUAUUGCCCCUCUGUCCUCCAGCAGUUCCUCCCAAAGACCACUCCUAAUCACCUCUGGCCUCAGGCGGGAGGGGAACUAACACCCACCCACCCCUGCCCUCCCUGCAAAUGGGAACAUCAAGGUUCCCAGUGCUUAACUGAGGGACAAGUGACAAUUUAGCAGAGAGGCAAGAUUUGAAUCCAGACUGUCUUCCAGACUCAGGACCUACCUUAAAAUAAUAUCUGAGUUGCUUAUGGAGGCAGACCUGCCUGCAAAGCCCAGCACUCAGCAAGUGCUCAAUAAAUAUUUGAUUUGAAUUCUUUC
rnacentral:lncRNA from 1 species